GUAAUACUUUUUUUUCAAAGGUAGCAGCCCAUUAUUCAAUCAAAUGCUUUAAUGUUCACAGCCUCUUCUCACCAAAUGGAAAUGUUAUUGUACACAGCCUCUUCUUAUCCAUUUGCUCUCCUACAAUGUGACUGAACUGUGCAACCUUUAUAUUACAGUAUUCCCCAGUGUUUCCAAGUCAUCAAAAAUAACCUUUCCUGAAAUAAAAUGUCAAGUUUUGUGGAAUUUGACUUUUUUGUUUUCUUUCAUGAUUUGUUAGGGAGGCUAAUGUCAUAGGUCUACAUCUUUUGUAAUACCAGAAUAUCAACUUUAAACUUUAAAACAAAAUUACACUUAAUUCAGAGAAAGGGUAUAAAACUAUAGGUUUCUGAAGCUAAACAAAUAAUAAAACAAAUAAUAUAUAAUUCACUUUUUCAGUAUUCCUUAAAUUCCUUUUGAUUCAAUUUAUUGGAUUUUCCCUCAAUUUUUUUAAAUAACUUGUUUUCCUUAAAAUUUCCUCGACAAAAACCUGAAUUUCCUGAAGUCUUUGACAUGUUAAAUUCCCAAAGCUGAGUCUCAACUCUUCUGGAAUGUGGACUUGGGACAAACAAUUAUCAAGCUGUUCACUGACUGGACCAUGGACUGCCCCAUCAAUCAAAUCACACAUAAUUAUCAUCAUCAAAAUAGGGUAUGCAACUAUGCAUGUGAAGUUCAUACACUACCAUUAUGUAGAGAUCAACACAAUAUACAAGUAUUAUUAGAAUUAAAUUUUUAAGAAACAUCUUUCCCACAGUCCCAAGCACUUCGUACAUUUUUUGUUUUACUUGAUUCACUCCUCAUAUGCAUGUAAUGUAUGUACAAUGAAUGUUAAAAACAAAAUGGAGUUAAUCUCUUAUCAACUACAACACUAUACAAAAACCAAAUUUACCAGAAAUAGCAUGGAUGUACUUCUUUUUAUAAGAUUGUAAAUAUAUCUAUAGAAUAUAUGACAUGUUAAAUAUAUUCAAAGGCCAAAUUGUUUUCUAUGUGAUAAAACAUGAUAUGUAUGCUAUUAAUAUCUUUAAAUUUAUCAAUAUAAAGUAAUUGUUUAUUUCCACAGUACAAUAUAUACAAAAAUAUACCAAGAAUUAUUUGACACUAUAUCAUCACGCAGGUAGCAAAUGCCUUCUAGUCCCAAAGGCAUUUCCUUGGCCCAAUAAUAAAUGCUUACCAUAAGUAUCUACCAUCACUAAACUUCAGAAAUAUUUCAUUUGAUGAACCAUUUUUUAAUCAUGAUUCAGUGAAAUUUCUUGCAAGAAAAUAAAUGAUAUGAAAAAAAAUCAAUCAAGUAAGGCAAUUGAUUCUCUUCACUGAUAUCAAAUAAACAAAUUAUGUGAAAUACAAGAGAAGUAUUAACCAUUGACUGCUGUACACAUCACUUAGAAUUAAAACCAUUAGCUGCAGUAGAACACAUGUAUACUUACAUAUAGAAAAGGAAUAUUACAGACACAAUAACAAUGAAUGAGAAACAGUUGUAUGUAUGUUUCAAUUGCACCAGAAAGAAGUUGUAUGUAUUCAAGAUAAAUAGCUAUAUCCAUUAAGUUAUAGACAAAAACAAGGUAAGUUAAAAAUAUAAAAAACCUUAACAGAAUACCUUACUUUAAUAUACAGUCAAACCUGCUUUAGUGACCACCUGUAUAGAAAGACCACCUGUCUAUAAAGACCUAAUUUUGUUGGUUUCCCUUGAAUAGGGUUUCUAAAUUAAACCUGUACUAAAGGAACCCUUUACAUUAAAGACCACCUGUCUAUAAAGACCACUUUUCAUAUUCCCUUGAGUGGUCCUUAUAUACAGGUUUCACUGUAGUAGGUAAUUAAGCCAUGUUUUUGUUGAAUAUAUAUAUUUUAAUGUUCAUGCGAGCCCUGUGGUUCAAUCACAACUAUCUGUAUGGACACACAGAUUCAAAUACCGGUAAUUAAAAGAAAGAAAGAAAAGGGUUAUCUAAAUUCAUGAUUGGAAUGAGCCUUACAUUGUCAUAGGGGAAAGGGGAACAAAAGUAGUUUAAUGUUGUUUCAGUUUUGUUUUAAUUUUGUUUUGUCAUUUGUAUGAUAUUCAAUGUAAUCAACUUACAUCAAAUAGUAUUAGAUAAUAGAAUAGAAGGUACUCUGGAUUCAGACAAUCGGGAUUCAAACACACUUCCGAGCACCAGGGAAUGUGUACCUGAAAAACUCCAUUGUUAAUCACAAAAUAAGGCACAGAAUCCAUACAAACAACAUCAAGAUUUAUAUAAAUUAAU